rnacentral:tRNA from 1 species
GCUGUAAUUUGGUGGUGGAGUGUCUGCUUGGCAUGCGGAAGGUCCCAGGUUCAAGCCCAGACAUCUACA